CUACGGAGGGUGCAAGCGUUAAUCGGAAUUACUGGGCGUAAAGCGUACGUAGGCGGUUCGUUAAGUUAGAUGUGAAAGCCCCGGGCUUAACCUGGGAACUGCAUUUAAAACUGGCGAACUAGAGUUGAGUAGAGGGGAGUGGAAUUUCAGGUGUAGCGGUGAAAUGCGUAGAGAUCUGAAGGAACACCAGUGGCGAAGGCGACUCCCUGGACUCGAACUGACGCUGAGGUACGAAAGCGUGGGUAGCAAACGGGAGUAGAUACCCUAGUAGUCC
rnacentral:rRNA from 1 species